GGACCCGCACAAGUAGUGGAGCAUGUGGUUUAAUUCGAAGAUACGCGCAGAACCUUACCAACACUUGACAUGUUCGUCGCGACUCUAAGAGAUUAGAGUUUUCGGUUCGGCCGGACGAAACACAGGUGCUGCAUGGCUGUCGUCAGCUCGUGUCGUGAGAUGUUGGGUUAAGUCCCGCAACGAGCGCAACCCUCACUUUUAGUUGCCAUCAUUAAGUUGGGCACUCUGAAAGAACUGCCAGUGAUAAGCUGGAGGAAGGUGGGGAUGACGUCAAGUCCUCAUGGCCCUUACGUGUUGGGCUACACACGUGCUACAAUGGUAUCUACAACAGGAAGCAAGACUGCGAAGUUAAGCAAAUCCCUAAAAGAUACCUCAGUUCGGAUUGCACUCUGCAACUCGAGUGCAUGAAGCUGGAAUUACUAGUAA
rnacentral:rRNA from 1 species